GCACUGGUGGUCUAGUGGUUAGAGUUCCUGUCUUAGAUACAGGAGGUCACAGGUUCUAACCCUGGCUGAGUCGUA